UACGAAGGGGGCUAGCGUUGCUCGGAAUGACUGGGCGUAAAGGGCGCGUAGGCGGUUGGCUAUGUCGGGCGUGAAAUUCCAGGGCUUAACCUUGGGGCUGCGUUCGAGACGGGUUGUCUUGAGUGGGGAAGAGGGUCGUGGAAUUCCCAGUGUAGAGGUGAAAUUCGUAGAUAUUGGGAAGAACACCGGUGGCGAAGGCGGCGACCUGGUCCUUUACUGACGCUGAGGCGCGAAAGCGUGGGGAGCAAACAGG
rnacentral:rRNA from 1 species